rnacentral:rRNA from 1 species
UGGGGAAUUUUGGGCAAUGGGCGAAAGCCUGACCCAGCAACGCCGCGUGAAGGAUGAAGUAUUUCGGUAUGUAAACUUCGAAAGAAUAGGAAGAAUAAAUGACGGUACUAUUUAUAAGGUCCGGCUAACUACGUGCCAGCAGCCGCGGUAAUACGUAGGGACCAAGCGUUGUUCGGAUUUACUGGGCGUAAAGGGCGCGUAGGCGGCAUGACAAGUCACUUGUGAAAUCUCUGGGCUUAACCCAGAACGGCCAAGUGAUACUGUCGCGCUAGAGUGCAGAAGGGGCAAUCGGAAUUCUUGGUGUAGCGGUGAAAUGCGUAGAUAUCAAGAGGAACACCUGAGGUGAAGACGGGUUGCUGGGCUGACACUGACGCUCAUGCACGAAAGCGUGGGGAGCAAACAGGAUUAGAUACCCCAGUAGUCCCUGAGCGGGCUGGCAAGGCGCAU